UAGCUUCUAUGUAGAAUAAAUGUACAUUUCUGCAAAAGUGGAAAAUACGUUAUACCCCUUUGUCAUUGAUAGUCCUAGGUUCACCUAUUAUUUUCGUCUCAUGAGCUAUACUUUAUGUGAAAGUUUUCAUGGUCAGAUUAUAGUUUUUCUGAGGCGCAGGUUAUCUGUUUCACAUGCUCACAAUUGAACUUUCUUUUCAGGUAUUGACAUCUUUAAAGGAGAAGAAUGAUGAGUUCUUGUGGAAGGAUGGGCAUAAACCACAAAGUGGUUGUUAGGUAGCGUUCUCGCUUCUUCUAUUAUCUCGAUUGCUACUUUAUUGCUUGACGGUCACUUUCAUCUCUUUAUAUUGUUGGACUCACUUGUUUUUGUGAUAUGGUAUGUUACUAGUUACGACCAAACAUUGUGCUUGGUUUUUCUUACCAUUUCAUACUCUUUGUAAUUAAAAUAUAUUUUAAAAUCUGUUUCUUCUUGAGUUUUUCAAGAUCUCCCUUUGUGUUUUUAGGUGGGAGAGUUGUGUUGUUUUUCCAUCCAAAUUAAGGCAGUUAGUUAGCUAAAUCUAUUUGCUGUAUAUUUCUUCUUAGACAUGUUAAUAAUGAAAUUUGAGGCCUUUUUGUUUUUCUACUUGAAGUUACACUCUUGAUUAAGGAGUUAAAAUUUUAGCAACUUCAGUUUGUGCUAACUCACAAUUUUUCUUCUACUUGAUCAUUGUUUUUAUUUAUUUAUUAUUAUUAAGUAGAGAUUGAGUCAUCUCCUGUUCAUUGUCUGGUAUGUAGAGUGAAAAAUACUGCGCCCCUUGGGGUUGAAUUCACUGUGUAGUUAACUUCUAUUGAAGGAGCUUCCAUAUCGUAUGGUUUGUUUUCUCAGUACUGCGGGUCUUCCGCAGUAUAUACAACUUUCGUAUAGUUGAUGUGAUACAAGAAUACUUCUGUUGAAGAUGAAAAGCACGUUGUUGCCUCUUCUCAAACCAUUAUCAACUGCACUCCGGAGGACCCUAAAGUUUCUCGUAAGGAUUUGAGUAUUCUUCCAAGGUUUAUUGGAGCAUAUAGUGAGAUUGCUACAUUGAAAGCAUGUCAAAAAGUGUGAGACUGUCCCAUGUGAUGAUUUUGAAGUUGCAUUCAAGGUUAAUAGAUUUGUUUCUAAGUUUAUAUAUACCUGAGACAACAGAUGUAAGGGGAUAAACUUUACUUUUAAUAUACCACACAUCUUUUUUGUUA